UCGGUAAAUUUGACUGAACCGGCCGGUCGACCCGGUUUUGACACCGGUUUACCCUUUAAACCGUGAACCGGAGAGUUUUCUGGUUCAAGGGCCGGUUUGGUUUUCAAAACAUGGCUUUUCUGGUCAUAUUCCCCGUGAUAUUCCUUUAAAGCAGCUGCAUAAAAAGCCUGUAAAGCUUCAAGCUUCUUGGGUAUCCUCACCUCCAGUGUUUGUUUCUUUUCCCGCCAAGGAUAACAUUAAAUAAAUACUUCAAGCUAAUCCUGACAAGUCUCACAUAAUCUACUGGACCAUUUCAAUUUCAGGUGGUUUGAACUUUGAACUCCUAUUGAAAAUAAAUCACGAGAAGCUCGUCCAGGCCUAAGGUUACUUCUUCUUCUUCCACAUGAUGUAUAGUGUUUCUUAUUUGUACACUAUUGAUGUUUUUUUCCUGCAAUAAUGUGAUUGAUAAGGAAUGGGAGUGGGAGCGUAGAAUGGACAUUAUUAGUGCUGGAAUCGCUGAAGUGCAUAAGAUGAACUAUUCCCACGAAGCAAAUGCUAAACUGGAGGAAUUGAUUUGCCAAGCAGAGAAUGCAAAGGCUGCCCGAAACCAAUCUUAUACGGGAUUAACAGAAUUGAAAGCCGAAAUUGAAAAAGAUCCCGUGCUCUUCAUAUUCUUUUUCGUGGUUUUGUUUGUGGGAUGUGGAAUUCUCAUUCCAUGGGUUGCAGCAGUGCUCUCUCUCACUGCUUCCUCUGGCAUAUGUAUUCGUCGUUGUGUGCUUUGGAUUUAUCCAUUGAAAUCAUGCUUACCCAUUUCACCACAAUCACCGGUUAAGCUUAUGAUCAAUAUUCUUGAAUCAGUUGAAUGCCUCUGGUGCGACUAGGUUGCAUGGCAUACGAGCAGUGAGCCCUUAGUUUUCAGUUCUAAAUUUGAAGACCAAUAGACGAUUUUUUUGUGCAUAUCAAGGUGAGUUUCCUGUUGUUGUUUUUGGAAUAUUUUACAACCCGAUCCAACAUUGGAGAUUUGAUGGGACUGUUGAGCAAUAAGCCACCUGGGUUGGCCCCUGGAAGAUCCCAAGUCCCCUUGCUCAUCAUUGUAUUUGUAGCUUGUCAUGGGGGUUCUUUUUUUGCCAAUAUGUUUUAGCAUCUGCCAGAAAGUGCCAAGUCCCCUUGCUCUUUCUUUUGGUAGGGAUAACGAAUCUCUAAAAAUUGCAAACAGCUGAGGUGGGUCUCACAUAACUUUGCGUAUUUCACGGCUUUUGACUGGUGUUCAUAUCUUUUGCAGCGGAAAGUAACGCAAGUCAUGGAACUAUGAACCGUGUAUUUGCUCAUCCUGCCAACUAAUUUUCUUUCACUGAUGUUGAAAGGUGGGGAGAUUAUUGGUGUGUUGGGAGGGUUAAAUUUGCGAAGAUGAAUUGGAAUGCAUCAAAGCUUGUAAGAGACCCCUCAAAUUUUACCUCAUCUCUCUGGCUUAUUUUGAAGUAGAUGAAAAGAAAGGCCCCAUGUAUCAUGUAUGUGCUUCCAGAUCCCAUUAGACUACUACUGCUACUCACAUACGCCAUGAGAUCCACGUUUUUAUUCCAAUUUUUGGUUUAACCAUCGAUUCUCUUA